rnacentral:rRNA from 1 species
GACGAACGCUGGCGGCGUGCUUAACACAUGCAAGUCGAGCGGUAAGGCCCUUUCGGGGGUACACGAGCGGCGAACGGGUGAGUAACACGUGGGUGACCUGCCCUCAGCUCUGGGAUAAGCCUGGGAAACCGGGUCUAAUACCGGAUAUGACUCCAUGACGCAUGUUGUGGGGUGGAAAGCCUUGUGCGGCUGAGGAUGGGCCCGCGGCCUAUCAGCUUGUUGGUGGGGUGAUGGCCUACCAAGGCGACGACGGGUAGCCGGCCUGAGAGGGCGACCGGCCACACUGGGACUGAGACACGGCCCAGACUCCUACGGGAGGCAGCAGUGGGGAAUCUUGCGCAAUGGGCGAAAGCCUGACGCAGCGACGCCGCGUGCGGGAAGAAGGCCUUUAGGGUUGUAAACCGCUUUCAGGAGGGACGAAGCUCCUCGGGUGAAUAGCCCCAGAGGGUGACGGUACCUUCAGAAGAA